rnacentral:misc_RNA from 1 species
GUGGGAGCGAGCCUGCUCGCGAUGACAGUGUGUCAGUCACCAUCAAUAUCAACUGACCCACCGCUAUCGCGAGCAGGCUCGCUCCCAC